UCCGAUGGAUUGUAUUAGUGGGGAGAGAGAGCGAGUGAGUGUGGCGUUCCGGAGAAUAUGGAAUGGCAGCGGUGAGUGAGAGUGAGGUGGUGCACUCUGUUUGGGGAUUUGGGAAGUUCCAUGACAAGUUCAAUCCAUUCCUUUCGCAUGCAUUUCUCUCAACCUUAGAGCACUCUGCUUCCGCUGUCAGGGAAACUGGAUGCAUACAACACCACAUCGUUGCCAAAGCCAACAACACCACCAUUCUCGCCGUUGUCCCACUCUAUGUUAAAACCCAUUCCUACGGCUAAUGCUUACCAUUCUUAUGGAUACAACUAUUACCCCAAGUUACAGUCUUGUGUCCCCUUCGCACCUGUAACUGUUCCAAGGAUCUUACUUCGUAACACCUCCUUCAAACAUCAAAUUUUCUCCGCAAUCAAGGAACUUACUCUCACCUCCCAGCUUUCAUCAUUACAUGUUACUUUUCCCUCUGAAAAUGAGUGCCACAAGCUCACUGAAAAAGGCUUCCUGCCCAGGAUUGGAAUGCAGUACCACUGGAAAAACCGUAACUACAAAAAUCUUGAUGACUUCUUGAUGGACAUGAAGCAAAGUAAAAGAAAAAAUAUACGUCAAGAGUGCAAAAAGGUUACAAACAUUGAUAUGUGCAGGUUUUUUCAACAGAUCUCAGCCCAGAACUUGAUUAUGAAACGCCUCCGGGGUUAUUUAAUAAAGGCUAGGCACUGGGAUUCCUUCUACACUUUUUACAGGAACACAACUGAUAACAAAUGGGGCACUCCUCACCUGACAAGGGAAUUUUUUCAUGAGCUGGGAGCAAAAAUGGGAGAUAAUGUGCUACUUGUGGUGGCUGAAGAAGGGGAUGAACUAGUUGCUGGAGCCCUAAAUCUUAUUGGAGGAGAUACUUUGUUUGGGCGCCUAUGGGGGUGUCAGCCACGAAGUUACUACCAGGCAAUUGAAGCAGCUAUUGAACUCAAUCUUAAAACAGUAGAGGCAGGAGCUCAGGGUGAACACAAGAUUCAGCGGUGAUAUCUUCCUGUGACUACUUUUAGCUGCCAUUACCUUAUUGAUAAUAAUUUAUAUUUUAGUAGAAAUGUAUGUACAGCUGAAGUAAUGAAUACGUUGGCCAUUUGGUUCGAAGAUGAAUGGUCCAUGUGUUUGUAUUGCUAGAGUAAUUCUGUGGUAGUUGUGUUCUGUGUUACCAGUGAAUUAAAUACGAACAUCUCCAAUCGUCCAACUGCGAUAGAAUUGCUGAACUCAUUUUGUUUGACUCUAUAACACCAUAUUAAAUUUAAGAAUUCCAACAAGUUUUCUCUACAAUGA